UUUGAAAUUUCUUUUUUUUAUUAUAAUAUGCCAUUACAACGGUCAUUCAAAUAUUUCUCUAAAAAUAGGUAUGUCAGAAAUCACACUGCCGCGUGGACCAACGUGCACCAUUCAGAGAGUCGCAUUUACUGUUUCCGCGGACGUAAUAAUAUGCCAUUACAGUCAUGGAAAAAUUUCUCUUAAAUAGUUUUCCUUUAGUAACAUCUCGCCGAAAUCCCUCAAGCAUCCAGAUAAAGCUGCAAUGGUCAAAGGCUGAUAAGCAUGCUAAAGAUGGCUAUUGGUUCCAGCAAGACGCAACCUGAAAACACAGGGCCGCCUGACAAUGAAAUUCUCUCAAAAUGAGAUAAACAACUAGCCAAUAAACAAAUGAGAUAAACAACUAGCAGAUAUCAAUCCAUAAGAAAUACUGCGGAAUGUGCUGAGAAACCAUCUAUGAUGCUAGUUGAAGAUAAAGAACAAAUAUGGAAACGAACUCAAAACUCAAAACAACGAAAAAAAGCAUCAAAACUUUCUAAAAUCUUAAACAUUUUAUUUAGACAUAUUUAGAGUAGAGUCUGACCAUGCGCGCAUAGGAUCGAGUCCCACACCCUAAGACUGAUUUCUCGACUCCAACUUGCCUCUUCGUGGCGUGUGCUACUUUAUAGCAAACAGAGAAGUCCAGAGCAUCAAGUGGUACUAGACUGCUUGGUUACGUUUCUGGUUGGGACAGGAUACGCUCCCAGUCAAAGCCAAGCUGGACAAUAAGAAAGUCAAAACCCAGUGAAAUAAAAAGAGAGGAGGAGAACGCAUGAUACCAAGAGUAACAUCCUACCAAGCAAACAGGGCCAUUGUUAUUAUAUAAACAAAUCUAUCUAUUUGUGCACAUUAAUUAUUAUAACCCUUAGCCAUUUUUACUUUUGGUGAUCAAAAGAAAAUAGGAGACGUAUCUGAAUGAGGAGCACAGAGAGAUAUGCCCCCCAUUGUUUUCUUAAAGUUUCUGUAUCUUGAUCCCCCAGUGGAGUUCUACUCUCAGUAGGAUUACACAGCGUAGCAAGCAUUUCUUGACAUUAAGCAAAUCUCACCCAGUAGAAGCCAAACUACUAUGCCGUUUGUUUUUAAGCUAGUAGGGAGGGUAGGGGGCAUUAAAUAAAGGGGGGGCAUUUAUUAGAGGGGCAUUCAUUUAAACUUGUAAGUUUAGGGGGGAGCUUUUUAUUGGGUAGGGGGCGUAGCAAAAUAGAUUAGCAUAACCCCAAUAAAAACAAUGCAUU